rnacentral:rRNA from 1 species
CCCUUAGAUGUUCGGGGCCGCACGCGCGCUACACUGACGGUUUCAAUGAGUACCAUCCUGUUCUGAAAAGAUCGGGAAAUCUUACGAAUGAUCGUCAUGUCAGGGAUUGGGGCUUGCAAUUAUUCCCCAUGAACGAGGAAUUCCCAGUAAGUGCAAGUCAUAAGCUUGCGCUGACUACGUCCCUGCCCUUUGUACACACCGCCCGUCGCUACUACCGAUUGAAUGAUUUAGUGAGGACUUCGGACUGGGACCGAUGCGGCUUUCGGGCUGCGUCGGUAUUCUGGAAAGAUGUCCAAACUGUAUCAUUUAGAGGAAGUAAAAGUCGUAACA